UUCCGGUUGAUCCCGCCGGACCUGACUGCUAUCGGAUUGAUACUAAGCCAUGCGAGUCAUUGUAGCAAUACAAGGCAUACGGCUCAGUAACGCGUAGUCAACCUACCCUAUGGACGGAAAUAACCUCGGGAAACUGAGAAUAAUAUCCGAUAGAACAUUAUGCCUGGAAUGGUUUAUGUUCCAAAUGAUUUAUCGCCGUAGGAUGGGACUGCGGCCUAUCAGUUUGUUGGUGAGGUAAUGGCCCACCAAGACUAUUACAGGUACGGGCUCUGAGAAGGAGUAGCCCGGAGAUGGGUACUGAGACACGGACCCAGGCCCUAUGGGGCGCAGCAGGCGAGAAAAMYUUGCAAUGUGCGAAAGCACGACAAGGUUAAUCCGAGUGAUUUCUGCUAAAGAAAUCUUUUGUUAGUCCUAGAAACACUAACGAAUAAGGGGUGGGCAAGUUCUGGUGUCAGCCGCCGCGGUAAAACCAGCACCUCAAGUGGUCAGGAUGAUUAUUGGGCCUAAAGCAUCCGUAGCCGGCUCUGUAAGUCCUCGGUUAAAUCUGUACGCUUAACGUACAGGCUGCCGGGAAUACUGCAUAGCUAGGGAGUGGGAGAGGUAGACGGUACUCGGUAGGAAGGGGUAAAAUCCUUUGAUCUAUUGAUGACCACCUGUGGCGAAGGCGGUCUACCAGAACACGUCCGACGGUGAGGGAUGAAAGCUGGGGGAGCAAACCGGAUUAGAUACCCGGGUAGUCCCAGCUGUAAACUAUGCAAACUCAGUGAUGCAUUGGCUUGUGGCCAAUGCAGUGCUGCAGGGAAGCCGUUAAGUUUGCCGCCUGGGAAGUACGUACGCAAGUAUGAAACUUAAAGGAAUUGGCGGGGGAGCACCACAAGGGGUGAAGCCUGCGGUUCAAUUGGAGUCAACGCCGG
rnacentral:rRNA from 2 species